UGCCCUACGGGGCGUAGCAGUGGGGAAUAUUGCACAAUGGGGGAAACCCUGAUGCAGCAACGCCGCGUGAAGGAAGACGGUUUUCGGAUUGUAAACUUCCUUUCUUAGUGAAGAAGCAAGUGACGGUAGCUAAGGAAUAAGCAUCGGCUAACUACGUGCCAGCAGCCGCGGUAAUACGUAGGAUGCGAGAGUUAUCCGGAAUUACUGGGUGUAAAGGGAGCGCAGGCGGGACUGCAAGGUGGAUGUGACAUACCGC
rnacentral:rRNA from 1 species